UACGGGGGGAGCAAGCGUUGUUCGGAUUUACUGGGCGUAAAGGGCGCGUAGGCGGCCAGCGCAAGUCAGUUGUGAAAUCUCCGGGCUUAACCCGGAACGGUCAACUGAUACUGCGCGGCUAGAGUGCAGAAGGGGCAACUGGAAUUCUCGGUGUAGCGGUGAAAUGCGUAGAUAUCGAGAGGAACACCUGCGGCGAAGGCGGGUUGCUGGGCUGACACUGACGCUGAGGCGCGAAAGCUAGGGGAGCGAAUGGG
rnacentral:rRNA from 1 species